GGUGUCUGGUGCCUUUAAGCUAUUUAAUUACAUUCCUAUUAUAUCUGCAUAAUAGACCUGGACUCUAAAAAAGGAAAAUCUUCAAAAUCCCAGAUGUCUGAAAACUUGUAGUACUUUGGCCUCAGAAAAUUCCAUCUCUAGAGACAUCAGGAUAGUGCAAGUCUGAUUCGGGCAUUCCUCACAUCCCUGGAAUAUGGAGUACAGAAAAAAGAAAUCUGAGUGACAUAAACAAUGUCAUUUCCCAACUAUCCUUAGUCAUUUCUGCCUGUUAUUUCUGCCUUGGGUAAAGAAGCAAUGUCUAGGAAAUAUCUACUUUGUUAAUUGAGGUAUUUCCCCAAAAGUAUUAAAAC
rnacentral:lncRNA from 11 species